rnacentral:rRNA from 1 species
UGUCAGGAGUUAUGAAAUGCCGGUGGGGGAAAUCCUGUCGGUUUGACAAAGGCCUAGGAGGAAGCCACGGCUAACUUCGUGCCAGCAGCCGCGGUAAUACGAAGGUGGCAAGCGUUGUUCGGAAUCACUGGGCAUAAAGGGCGUGUAGGCGGUCCGGUAAGUUGGUAGUGAAAGCCCCCGGCUCAACCGGGGAAGUGCUACCGAUACUGCCGAACUCGAGUGCAGGAGGGGAGAGUGGAACUUCUGGUA